UAAAACACACGCACAAAGGGCUUCCUCAAAGCCCGGCGACCUGACACCCAGGCCGAGGCUUCUGCUGGGCCCAACCCUAUAGGGCAACGGCAGAAGGUCCCCGGCUUCCAGCUGACUUAUUUGCAGUGUGGCAGUUGCUUAAACACCCCUCCCCCUCUUCCUGUUGGCCCCCCAGGGGGAGCUGCGGGGAGAGGCUGUGACAGCCCCCCACUCUGGGGGCUUAUUUCCUGGGGCAUUCGGGCUGUUGGUGGAGCUGAGAAAUGGAGUGGUAAUUUGGAGAUUAUCAAGAGGCCAAGGCAGGGGGCCCUUUUUAAAUUUCAGGGUGAGGCCUUCAUGAGACUAGAUUUUAAAUUGGACAGGAGGGGGAGGGAGUAGGGGGGUGGAUGUCUUGGGAUCUUCCAUGGGAGUAGAAGAGACAUUCCUGUUUACUGAGCACCUACUGUAUGCCUAGUUGGGGCAGGAGUGACAGGACUGUGGGAUGAAGUUCCUGGGGGGCAGAAAUUCCUGUCUCCUCAGCGUUGCCACUGGACCUGCUCACAGUAUUCCCUGGUAUCGAAUGAAUGAAUACAUUAGAUAUAGUUGGGGAGGAAAAUUGUAUUGUUUCUAUUUGUCUGUGUGUAUGUACACACAUAUAGACUCACAAACCCCUGAUCAGGGUGGUGGGGGUGUGCACCAGGCCUCUGGGUAGCCAGGUGGGAUCAGGGUCAUCUGGGAAAUGUGGUUAUCUGGAGGGCAGACUCAACAGUUCUAAGAGCUGGCUCUGGCUGAUGUGAGCCUGGCACACCUGAGGUUGAGGAAAUGAGGGGCAGAGGGAGAAGCGACCAGCCCCGAGGCCCAAAUGGUGCAUGAUGGGACUGGAAUGCAGCCAUGUCAGGGGCGGGAAGCUUCCCCUCACUUGUCCCUUGGUGGCGAGGAAGGCAGGAAAGCUGGGCUUGGCAUCCAGAGCCUACGAGGAUCUCUGGACCAAGGGGAGUCAACCCGUGCUUUGGCGGGUUGAUGGGGUGGGGGGUCGGGGGGGCGUGGCACAAGCUCCGGGCCUCACUUUGAAAAUCCAAGGGUUUUUUUUUUGGCCUGCCAUUGAUUCUGUUACCUUGCAUGGGCCUCGGUGAACUUGUCUGAAAAUUUCACCUCGUUUUCAGCGGGGUGGUAGGUAUAUAAGGAAGUGGUAUUAGGUGUGGGGGAUCGGAUCUGAAGUAACUGGCUGCUUUUGACAGCCUCCCUGCUGAUCGUGGGAGGUCAGAGUUGAGUGGGAUCAGAGCAGACGGGUGGACAGAGGAGGCUGACCAUUGCAGAUGGAGGCAGCAGAGUGAGUGUAUGUGGGAGGGUGGGUGGGAGGACCCAGUGCGCUAGGAUACGAAGGCCUCUGGGUGGGAGGCAGAAGGCCCUGUUUUUAGCCCUGGUGUGUUCACAACAAGAGAGACUUUGGUCCAGUCGUUUCACUUCUCUGAGCUUUUAUUAGACUAUUCAACACAUAACUUUGAGCAGCUACUCUGUCAGGCCCAGUUCCAAGGGCUGAGGAUAGAGCGCUGAAUGGUACAGACAGGUGCUUCCGAUCUGUUUCCUGCUCGGUAAACGGGCCACAUUCCCGUCCUGCCCUGCCCUGCCCUGCCCUGCCGAUCCCCAGGGCUCUUACGGGCAUCAGAUUAAGUGAUGUGGUAGGAAGCGCUUCCUUGGUGAAUGGUUAGGCCUGAUGCAGAUGCAGGUAGAAGUCUGUGCAGGCAGGAGGCAUGACUCAAAAACCUGCAUUGGUUGGCCGUGGCUUGUCCCUUCUUCAAAGAAUGCUUUCUUGCAGCGUUCCUGGGGCUUGACUCCCUGCCUCCAGACAUAAAAUGCAGUGGAUUAGGGAGUUUGCUGGCUUUCACAAUCUUCCUGACCUUUGAGGCUGAGCUCUAAAGCCACCUUUUAGAAGGUAGCAGGUCUGAACGCCCGUCUUUUCGAGAUGACCGUAGCCCCCAGUUUUUUCCCUCACCCACACCCUCAUGCGAGGCCUGCUGGAUGCCAGGCAAGCUGGAAAGAGCAUGGACUUUGAGUAGCAUCCUGGCUCUACACUUUCAGGCUUGUGACCUUGGGCAAGUUACUGUAACCUCUCAGCCUCCGAUUCCUUAUUCAUAAAAAGGAGCUAAUACCUCCACCUGCUGGGUUGACGAAGAUUUGUAAAAUGGCAGCUUUUGGUUGUUAAAUUUUAUUUUCUCUCUUAAAUCUUGGAGGCUCUGGUUUAAUGUGGAUUUCCACAGGUGCCAGUCCUGGUUUUUUUUUUGUUUUUUUUUUUUUAACAUAUGUAACUUAAUCAAUAUUUGUUGAGCUAAUGGUGUUGAAACAGAGAGGCAUUCACCUGGCAGGUAAAUGAAGGUGGUUGUAAAUAGUUCCUGCUCCGGAGUCUGUACCCACAUCAUUCCAGGUCACAGGAAUAUGUACCACCUUGUUUUUUGUUUUUUGUUUUUAAUGUUUUUUCAAUGUGUAUUAUUUUUGAGAAAGAGAGAAUAAGCAGGAGCAGAAUGAGAGGGAGACACAGAAUUGGAAGCAGGCUCCAGGCUCUGAGCUGUCAGCACAGAGCGCAACGCAGGGCCCGAACUCACAGACCACGAGAUCGUGACCUGAGCUGAAGUCGGCCGCCAAACUGACUGAGCCACCCAGGUGGCCCUGUACCACCUUGUUUGUACUCACUGCUGGUCUGCAGGACCAUCACAGGAGCUAGCCAAGGCCACUGAUGAAGGUGGAGGCCUGCAGAGAGGGGAGACCUGUUUUAGAGGGGUUUACAUGGGGAGGAACAGGACAUCCACCUGCCUUGGAGGUUAGGACUGCAAAAACCAAACUGAUGCCUGGUGGAAGUAAAAUGUCCAGGAGGAGAGAAUUGGCUCUUGUUCCCAUCCUCCUACCCCUCGCUGUUGUGCUCUCCUGCCUGCUUCACUCCGUGCCCGUGGCCAUGGGCCCAGCGCUCAGUCUGUCCUGUUCUCUGCUGAAUCCCUAGUGCCUCCUGUGGGGUUAGGCCUGUAGGUGGGUCAAGAAAUAACACUGAAUAAAUAAUUGGCAUCAUCCUGGGGCUGUAUCUAGACAUGCUCUGGGCACACUGGGUUCAAAUCUCAGCCCGUCCACUGACUACCUAUGUGAUCCUCGGGGGAUCACUUACCUGCUCUGUGCCUGAUGAUGCCAUUGGGGAAAUGAGUCUAAUAAUCGCUCCUGCCUGAUUUAGUUGAGUGGAGGUUUAAACCAAGUAAUGUGUGUAGGGAAUUUAAUACAGCACCUGACAGCGCGUGCUCAAUAAAAAUGCAUGUUAACUAUUUUGAGGAGCCAGAGUUUCUGUGGCCUUUACCCUGUAUUCUUUGAGAUAAGGUGUAGUAUAUAAACCCAUCUUAGAAGGAGCCCACUCCUAGUUGGCUAGGAGUGUAUGGAGUUGUGUUCUCCUUGACCUCGGACCCUGACGUCAUCUCUGGCUCAUUCGGUGUCACUUGACCUUUCUGAUUGCUCAGUCCCUUCACUAUAGAAUGGUGUAGAAACCCUUGCUUACCCUUUGCCUACAUUUUGGGUAUCCAGGAGAAACAAAUGAAUGUGACGUGCUCAAAAGCUUUGUAAGUUGGUCACAGUACAGGUAAAAUGACCUCAAAGUAUGAGUGUCUUCUAAAGGAGACAGCCUGGGGGCCCCUGGGUGGCUCAAUCGGUUAAGCGACUGACUCUUGAUUUCAGCUCAGGUGAUGAUCUCACGUUUCAUGAGUUUGAGCCCGGAGUUGGGCUCUGUGCUGACAGCGUGGGGCCUGCUUGGGGUUCUCUCUCUCCCUCUCUCUGCCCCUCCCCGGCUCACGCUUGCUGUCUCUCUCAAAAUAAAUAGGUAAACUUAAAAAAUACACUAAACUAAAGUAAAGGAAAUACACUAAACUAAACUAAAAUAAAGCCUAGAGUGUUUUCAGGCCCUACAGUCAACUAGCUGAGGGCGUUCUUUAGGCCCUGCCCAAACCUCCCAGUAGCCUACCAGCCCUGCUUUGCCCCAGGGAGCUGUCUCUGGCUGCCACCCAGCCUACCCUGGGACAGAUGUGAGAAGGCCUGGAGCUUCCUGAGAACCAGCUUGUCCAGUUUUGAGGAAUGAUGAGAUCUCCAGGAGCCGUUGGUCACUGGAGAUGGGCUUGUAGGAGUGACAGGCUAGCAGGCUCCUGCAAGGAGCAAACUUGUUUCCUGAAGCUCCUUUCUUGAGAAGGGGCUGCUAAGGCUGUGCUCCGUGGAGUGGGGGUGGGGUGGGAGGAGGCCUGGGCCCCCGGGCCCUUCCUUGUGGGGCGGUUUUAAGUGUGAAGAGGUCAAACCAAAGGGGUGUCUUGUAGUUUGUUGUUUGUGGUUGGGAUUUGGGUCUCCCCUUUCCUCCUCCAGGAAGGCCUGGGGCUGGGCGCCUGGCCAGUGGCCACAAACCGUAAGCCUGGCUUGAGGACUUGUCACACAAGACCCGGUGCCUCCUGUGGGUCUGGAACCAGGGCGGGGUGGCCCAAGUCUGAGACAUGAGAUCUGCUGCUGGGUAUCUCUAGAGAAGAGCCAAUGUCUCUGCUCAUCUACCUUCUAGUCCCUUCUUAGUGUGAGAACAUCAGUAAUUUCUCUUGGUAGACUCAGUCAGUGAGCAUUGGUUGAAUCCCUUUUGGGUAUCCAAUGCUCCACCCACCUGGGGUUGUGGAAAACCCAUGGUUUAGAUGGAGAGGGAACUGGAAAGGUAGAAAUCACACCGGGCAGUGCCACAAAUGGCCAGAGAUGUGGUGUUGGUCUCUGUGGGGCAGGAACCAGCACUGCUGCCUGGGCUGAUGGCAUUUGAGUUGCAUCUAGAAGGACAGGCAGGAUUUGAAGGUGCUGCUGGGAAGCCUCCCCUUUCCCUGACAUCUGGGCUGUGUGUGCGUGUGUGUGCAUGCGUGCGCACGCGUGCGUGCGUGUGUGUGUGUGUGUGUGUGUGUGUGUGUAAAGGAGGGUAGGGCAGUAGGAGAAAGGAGAAGGCUAGAAGGGCAGACCAGAGGGCGAUGAUGUGUAAGCUGCUGCAGGCUAGGGAACACCCCCUCCCAUUGUUCUCAUCCUUUGUCCUUCUUUCCCGGUCAGCUUUGUCCCUCCCAGAGCUGAACUCUCACCUUUCUGAGAGGUCAGUCUGUUUGUACAGCUCGAGAGCCCCACACCUGUGCAGGUGUUGUUGGGACUGUCCCAGCCAGUUAACCCCACCUGAGCUGCCCCAACGUGUAACCUACCCAAGCUUUUUCUAGGACGGGAUGUGCAGCCAAGGGGCUGUGGUCUCAGGGCACCUUCCCCACCAGCCCUACUUUUCUCCCCUUUGUGUUUGCUCCUUGGGCACACAGCUCUGCAAGGGCCCAGGGAGCUGGGCUCAGUUACUCACCAAUGACCCUGGAGAGGUCCUGGAGCCCACCAGCUGGUUUAGACAGUUUAGUCUGUAGCUCCCCAAAGGGGUCAUGGCUGAGUUCCUUAGUCCUGGCCACUCUGGGUCAGCCCGAUUGGACUCCUUUUUUUUUUCCUUAGAGAUUUUAUUUUCAAAUAAUCUCUGUACCCAAUGUGGGGCUUGAACUCACAGCCCUGAGAUUAAGAGUCAUAUGCUCCACUGACUGAGCCAGCCAGGCGCCCCCUGAUUGGACUCCUGAUUCAGCCCAGGGUUUUGUCUCACUGCUGAGGCACUGGUAUCCUGCUAAGCACCACUACCUGCCCAAACCUGGCCUUGAUGGAGGCUCAGGGGACCUUGGGAGCGGUGGGGGCAGGAGACCCAGCAAACCAGGGCUCAGAGUUACCCUGGAAGCCCACCUUCCUUUUUUUUUUUUUUUAAAUAGAUUUUUUAAAAGUAAUCUCUAUACCCAGCAUGGGGUUCGAA